rnacentral:lncRNA from 1 species
UGAAUGUAUCUGUUCCUCAGAAGAGAAGGACUACUACAGUCCCCACGGUACUUUGCUCCUCUGUUACCAUUUCCAGCCGGAGGGAAAAGAUAAAAGCUCGCAGUAUAAAAACUUGCAGAUCACGAGACCUCGUCCCUUUUUCCGCCGUCUCUCGUCUUGGCAGCACCUCGCUCUCCAGCCGUCUUAUCGUCGGUAGUAGAGUAAGGCCUACCUUGACUUUGGGACAUUCUCUCUCUCUGUAUUGGAUUUAUCAGCUUAAAUUGUAAUUAUAUUGUAUUAUAGUGUGUUGUUUUGCAUUCCGAUAUUUUAUUUAGUAAAUUAGUUUGUUUCUCCUCAGAUUGUUGCCACUGUUCUUUGCUCUCAGGGCCAUCUCCCUACCCUUUUCCCCUUUCCCCUUUUCCCAGGGCGUGGGCCCUUGGGUCCCCCGUCCCCUUUGUCACGGAAUCGGGCCUAACGCCCGUAAACCGUUGACAGACACCUACAGCUCAGUGUAGCUAGCAUGUAUCUGUGUGUGCUCAGACAGCUUUUCUGAUCACCUCGGCCCUGACUCUUCCAAUAUUUAAGCACCGUUUAACUUGUGUCUGAUUCAUGCUCGCACACUGAAGGAUUAAGAAAGUUCACCAGAUAAGAGCAUAUGAGUGCACCAGUGACCAUGCGUUAAAAAAAAAAUCCCACACAGGCAUACUGCUUUUUGGCUACACUGAACCAGCUUUGAAAAUUCUCCCUCAGGGAUAUACUUUGAUUUCUGCAAGAAGUUCCACAGCUGUAGAUGGAAAGGGUUUGGUUAUCUACAGAAAUGAAGGGGUGAAUGAUCAUCACUUCAAAGAGGGGCAGUUUUCUUGGGAUAAGGGUCAGCUCCUACCAGUUCAACCUAAGGUCAAAAAAACCCACCUAUUACUAGGAGGAGGUCUUCUUGAGGACAUUACCACUGCUUAAUCUGCAUACUCCCUUAUUGGGUUCUUCCUCAUUCAGGAGCAAAGGUCAAUCAAUCAGCUGCAAAGAUCACAUUAUAUCUUUG